CUGUAUUCUGGAUACAAGAAGACUGUCAUCUGAUAUACAAUUUCCCACAUUCAUUUUCCCAGAUAGUGCCUCUCCGGGACCCUGGAAUAGCUGAACUGCCAGGUGGGUUACAGACCCUAGACUGAGUAACCCACCCAAAGCGGUUUACAGUGGCGCCCGAACCAGUGACUCGGAGCACGGCCAACUAUUGGAUGAAGAUGCGCGGUCCCGGGACAACAACAAGAAGAAAAAAGAAGAUUCUGUGGCUGUAGAACUCAGACACAUCUGCAGAAUGAGAAAGAAAAUAAAAUCUGGACCUGGAUGAUGUUGAGGCUGCAGACGCCCCACAGAGGUCUUCCAGAGGCAACUGGGGAGAGGUCCUUGGUCAGGCCUUUCCUGCCCCCAAGGAGAGGAGUGCCUGAUAACAGAACCUGCUGCUCCACUCUGCAGGGUGUCAUACUGCCUCUAGAGAGUCAGGGAGACCCGGCUGAGAUAAGUGCCAGGAUGUGCUCCAGAUAGCUGAAUCCAGCUCACCUCACUCAGAAAUCCCACCUGCCCUGGAGCACAAAUGCUAAACUGCUUCUGCAGCUUGAAUUCUGGUUUGCUUUGGAGCUAAGGUGCAGACUAAACAAUUGUUUUAAUCUUUGGGACACAAAACUCAUUUUAAUUUAAAAUAUUAACCCUUCUUCACUAAAGAAGGGUGAAGAUUGGGGUUCCUGUCACUGUUGCUCAGAGACUGGAACUGGGUGCUGGAAACUGAAGUCAGGUCCUCUGCAAUAGCAAAAGGCACUCUUAACUUCUGAGAUGUCUCCCUAGUCCUGUGUAGAUCAUUUGUUCACUCUAGAUUGACUUUUGUAUCCUGCGAUAUACGUUUGUCUAUAUUCAUAUUUGUGCAUGGGGAGGUCUGUUUGUCCCAAAAUAAGACAGAAAGACAGGGCAUUGAAGGGGAUAUGAGAGGGAACACACAGCCCCUCACCCUGUAAUCAUUUUUACAUUUUUUUUUGA